UAUGUGAUCGUCUCUCGCAUAUCAAUAAGCGGAGGAAAAGAAACUAACAAGGAUUCCCCUAGUAACGGCGAGUGAAGCGGGAAGAGCUCAAAUUUGAAAUCUUAAAGGGUUUCCCUUUACGAAUUGUAGUUUAAAGAAGUGUUUUCUGUUGAGGUUUUGGUAAAAGUUCUUUGGAAUAGGACAUCAUAGAGGGUGAGAAUCCCGUAUUUGACCUUUACUUUCAACUUUGUGAUACACUUUCAAAGAGUCGGAUUGUUUGGGAAUGCAGUCCAAAAUGGGUGGUAAAUUUCAUCUAAAGCUAAAUAUUGGCGAGAGACCGAUAGCGAACAAGUACCGUGAGGGAAAGAUGAAAAGAACUUUGAAAAGAGAGUUAAACAGUACGUGAAAUUGUCAAAAGGGAAGCGUUUGACACCAGUGUUGUUUUUCUGAAAAUCAAUUAAAGAACUGUUUAUGCUAAGUUGUUUAGACUUUAUCAGCUAACUGUUUAGUUUUGAGCUUUUCUUUAAUGCACUUUUCAGUUAACAAGUCAACAUCAAUUUCUUUUGCUGUAAAAAAGCUUGAGGAAGGUGGCUUGAGAUUCGUCUUAAGUGUUUAUAGCCUCUUGCCUAUGCAGUCGGAGAGAUUGAGGUCUGCAGCGUAGAUCCUUCGGGGCUAAAUGCAUUUGUGCUAAGUUAUAGCAUUUUAUAGACAACUUGUUGACUAUGAUUAGUCUUGUAGCUUACUCGCUUAUGUUAUUUUACCUACGCUUAGGAUGUUGAUCUGUAGUGCGUGCGC
rnacentral:rRNA from 1 species